ACUUCCCUUCUCUCACUUUUUUUUUUUUUUUUUUAGGUCCAGGAAGCUCUGCUUAAAGAAGGAUUUAGAAAGAAAUCUGAGGAGAUGAAUGCAGAGAUAAAUCUUUUGAAAAAUAUGAUUGAUAAUGCUAAAGAUGAUGAUACUCCCUGGCUGGCAGUAGCCUUGGACGAAUUUGACAAAGAGAUCUCUUCACUAUUGUGCACUCCAGGCAAACUUCUUGGUCAUAUUGUGAGUGGUGUGAACUCCCUAUUUAAAAUGAAGUAGCUCUUCUUUUAAAGAAAUUAUAGAUACACAAUAUAUGUACAUGCUCUGGCCUAUGUUUGGUGUGAAUGCUUUUCACUUGCAUUCAGCAAAUCUUUAAAUAUAAAAAGUGGUUACUAGAAAAUAUCAAUGCCUGGCCCACAUUAGAUAGAAUAAAUGCAUGGACACUUUGAUAUAGCAUGUUCACUUUUAGGAAAUAUAUGUGUGCAAAAUCAUAUAUAUGUAUAUAUACAUACAUACAUACAAGAGGCCCGUUGAGGCAUCCCUUUUAAUGGCAAAAGAUUGGAAACUACUUAAAUGUCCAUCUAUAUAAACUGGUAAUAUACAUUUUCCAUGUACAUAUACUGGAAUACUAUGUAGCCAGUAAAAAGAUUGAUAGUGGAGGUUUAUAUGUAUAAAUAUAGAACAACCUUGAAGAUAUAUAGUAGAGUGAAAAAAAUGAGGUACAAAACAGUUUGUAUAAUCUGUUCACCAUAAAAAAUGCAAUUCUUAUGUGCACUCAUAUAUAUGUACACAUAGAACGCCUCUGGAAGAUUCAUUAGAAAGUGGUAUCAUUGGUUCCUUCUGGGGAGAACAGCUUGGCAUUCGUGAUGGAAGGGACACACACUUUUCAUUAUAUCCUCUAUCUUCUCAAUUUUGUAAAGAAAGCUUGUAUUAUCAUUUCUCAAGUGACAAAGAAAACAUAAAGUAUAAUACUAAAAAUGAUAAUAAAUGGAAUGUGAAAUUGCUAUUAGAUGAUGAAAUUGCUCAUUGCUUCUAGAAAUGACAUCAGUCUGUUCAAAGAGUUGGAUCAGAAUACUAGAAAGCAUAAAAUUUGCAUCCUAAUCUUGUUUUCACUUUGGCUGUGUUUUUAAUCCCUUAUAUUUCUUCAAAAAGAAGGUAUAAACUUUCCUGUUACCCCUUGAAAUCCUAGCUAGAGGAGAAUGCAGCUGACAUAUUUUGAACUGUUAUUGCCUAUAGCCAUAAUGCUAAGCUCUUUCGCUAGACUCUUUAAUCCUUCAAAUAACAUUAAGAAGCAUCUACGCUUAUUGUCAACAUUUUAAAGAUCUGAACGGAGAGGCUUAGCAAGUUAAACUAACUUGCCUAAAGUUACAGACAGCAAGUAGCAGAGGAAAACAGCAGCACAUUUUAGAGGCAGUAUUUCACAUUGGGAAGAGCAAUAUAGGAAAGCACCAGACAUCCUGGGUUUGUAGAACUGAACAUAGUUCUGACUGGCUGGAAUCUGGAGUGGGUAGAAGGAAGUAGCACGGGGCUAGAUACUGGAGGAAGACAGGUCGCUGUAAGGAGCUUAGGCUUGUUGUAGUGAACCACUGUAGAAUUUUAAACAUGAAGCAAAAAUUACAUGGACAUACUUGUUUUUGCAGCACUAAUCUCCUCAAUGGAAUUUUAAGUUCUGUGCUCCUUCUUGGUUCCUCAGGCAAACGAAGUCCUCCAGAACUUUCUGCUGUCACAGGUGGCAAUAGAGAAAUCCAUCCUGCAGGCAGAUAAAGCCCUCAGUGAUGGGGAGAAGGCUGUAGCAGAGGAGCAGGCCAGGAGGGAGACAGCUGAGAGGGAACAGGAGCUGCUGAAACAGAAACUGCAGGAGCUGGAGCAGCAGACGGAAGCACGACAGAGGAGUCUCCAGGAAAACAUAGCCCAGCUGACAGAGAAGCUGGCGAG